ACAAAUCUGCUAUGCGGCCGAGUCUUCGGACUUGACGCAUAUAUUAGCCCCGAGCCUGGCAGUAAUGUCGGCUUUGGUUGGGUGGGACGCAAGUCCUGCUCCGGUUGUGUGAGGACGCAAGUCCUUGCCAGCCACAUAGACGCUUGUAUGUUUGACAGAGUUACAGUUGUAAAACUAAAAUGA
rnacentral:misc_RNA from 1 species